GUUCUGCAGGCUGUACAAGAAGCAUGGCACCAGCAUCUGCAUCUGGUGAGGGCCUCAAGCUGCUUCCAUUUAUGGUGGAAGGGAAGAUGAGCCAGCGUGGACAGAGAUCCCAUCCCAUGGUCAAGAAGAAAUUGUUGCUCCAUCAUAUAAGUGAAUGUCAGGAGGAGGAAGGAGGAUCUUAAGGAAUGAAGUUCUAAUGCAUCCUCUUUGAUUAAAAAGUAAAAGAAUAAAGUUAGC
rnacentral:lncRNA from 1 species